AAUAGAUACCCAGGUAGUCCACGCCGUAAACGAUGAAUACUAGGUGUGGGAGGGUCCAACCUUCCGUGCCGUCGUUAACACAGUAAGUAUUCCGCCUGGGGAGUACGGUCGCAAAAUUAAAACUCAAAGGAAUUGACGGGGGCCCGCACAAGCAGCGGAGCAUGUGGUUUAAUUCGAAGCAACGCGAAGAACCUUACCUAGACUUGACAUCUCCUGAAUUACCCGUAACUGGGGAAGCUCUUCGGAGCAGGAAGACAGGUGGUGCAUGGUUGUCGUCAGCUCGUGUCGUGAGAUGUUGGGUUAAGUCCCGCAACGAGCGCAACCCUUAUUGUUAGUUGCUACCAUUUAGUUGAGCACUCUAGCGAGACUGCCGGGGUUAACUCGGAGGAAGGUGGGGAUGACGUCAAAUCAUCAUGCCCCUUAUGUCUAGGGCUACACACGUGCUACAAUGGCGAGUACAACAAGAUGCAAAACCGCGAGGUGGAGCAAAACUGUAAAACUCGUCCCAGUUCGGAUUGUAGGCUGAAACUCGCCUACAUGAAGCCGG
rnacentral:rRNA from 1 species